GCGGGGCAGAAGGCAUGAAGCUGCUGGGCAUGCAGGCAAGAAGCUACCACCUCGGAGGGCAAGUCAUCCUGUCAUGGGACUUGUGACACUCAGCGCAUAGAGGAUUGAAUUGCUAAGCAGCACCAAGUACCGGUGAGCACGUGGUGAGGCCCUACUGCCGCUGCAUCCACCUUCAAGUCAUGUGUGUUGGCUGCUGGGGUGAACAAGCUGACUGCUCCAACCCAUCAUGUCCCUAUGUCAUCACUCAGUCAGACUACAUGCCUCCACCUCCUUAGAAACCCUCCCACAAGGACACGAGGACAGCCACCCUCCCACUGAGAGUCCUCUCUCUAGCUCUCCAUGGCACAUCUGCCCUCCCCUACACCUGUGACCAGGUGCUAUCUAGCCAUCUAGUGUUUGCUGACACUAAUACCUGUAAGCAACUUGAGGUUGAGACUCGCAUCUCAUUCAUCUCUGUAGCCCCUCCUUCUUCAGAAAUGACAUUUCCCAGGAGUGCCUAGAGUAAACAACUGUGUCCUGGCAGGCCAGUCCCCAAGACCCCGGAAGCCUCUCAUCUGGGUGGGAGACACCUGCUGCUGUGUGUCUGCCAGGGAGUCAGCUGGGAAAGGGAGAAGCCCCUUGACCCACUCUGCUUCCCUUUCACCUGAACCGGGCCCAGACCUUCAGACUCAGGGGAUUUGGCCACAGGCAGAGAAAAUGGUAAGACAUGAGAAAGGACUUCCAGACUGAGAGCACGGGCCAUGCGGGGCAGGUGAAGGGGAGGGAUGAGAGGAGGAAGGCUGUAUAAUGUGGUUGGGGCAUGAGCUAGGGAGGACGGGUGACUGAGUUGGCUGAGAACAGACCCCCAAAUCUCUGCAGGACAACUCAUAAGAGUGGCUUUCAAUAUUUUUUCGUCAUGACUAAGAGUAAGAAAUACCAUUUUUCAUCAUGUCCCAGGAGAUAGAUAGAUAGAUAGAUAGAUAGAU
rnacentral:lncRNA from 10 species